GGGUGAUAGGGGAGGGAAGGGGAGAGGUGAGGGAGUGGACAGAGUUGGGGGAGGAGCGGGAUAAGGGAGAGGUGAGAGACAGGGACACAGAGUGGUGGAAGGAGAGGGAUGUUGGGGGUGUGGGGGGUAGGGCCCGAGGACGGGGGACGCGCUGGGGGAGGACCCGCGGGAGCGGAGUCGCGGGCCGCGGCGGCGGGGACGCCUCCCGCAUUUUUUACCUACUUUGGUGCGAUUCCCGCCGCCCUCCCCUGAUUGGCCCAGCCUGGCUUGUCCUGCCCUCGCGUGAGGGGAAAAAAAUCUGCACAUUUUUCCUCCUUCCCGAGGCGACCGUGGCCAUGCAGAGUGCUCUGUGAGUCACCGUUAAUUUCAGGUGAUGCUGAAGAUGCCAGUCCAAGGCCACACUCCUGAGCUGAGAAGGAACCCCCCUGUAUCCUACUGCAGCUGGAACCCUCUGCUUUUCUGUUUGCAUAGGACCCUGUGGCCUCUACACUUCUUAAUGUUCAGACUUCCUUUCUAGUCCAAAAAUGGGGUAAGGUGAAGAGACUUUCCUUGGGAGCCCAGAGGAGUACAGGAUCUGAUCCCAAGCCCUUUACCAUCAGGCCACAUGACACAGCACCUGUGAGUGAGGCUGAACAAGAGAAAUGAGAUUUGACAGAUGUUUCCUGAAGUCCUACUGUGUGCCAGCUGUGGCCGUGUUAGCUACCAGGAAUAUGAAGAUGAAUAAGGAGAUCACAAGUGAAAACAGAAAUGCCAAGAUAAACUUGGCCCAGGUUCCCUUGGGAAUUCUCAGGAUCCUACCUGGUGCAGCAGAUCACACCAGGGAGAUGUUACUGGAUCUUUGAUGAGUGGAGCAUCCACAGAGGAAGGAAGUGAGUGUUUGUUAAUGACAUCAUUCCUCACUUAUGUUGGCGAAUAUGAAUAUAGAAGAGAUGGCUAGAGAGUUUAUUCAAAGUUGGAUAUUUGGAGGAAGAGCAUGCCUGAUGUUCCUACCAAAAAAAAAUUAGACCCUAUGGACCAAGAUACAUAAGAUAGAUGUAGAUAUGUAAUGGGUUUCCUUUUUGUUUUUUUAUUUUUUUGGGAUCUGCUCUGGCUUACUUCCUAAUUUUCCUGUCUUCUUGGGGGUAGGAGGAGGGAUAUCAAAUGAUGGUUCAGCCAAAGAAAGCCAGCUCUUCCUGAUGAGGGAACUCUGAGUUGUAUUCAAGGAAAACAAACACCAAAAACAGAUAGCCAAAGGCCAAUGGUCAUGAUUUGAAAUUUGAGUGCCUUUUACUGUAACUGUUUUGCUCCAGUAUUUCCAUUACCAGUCCUUCGGUGAGGUCUUCAACUCUAGAUCAGAGUUCCCCAACAUUUUUGGCAUCAGGGACUGGUUUUGUGGAAGACAAUAUUUCCACAGACGGGCGGCAGGGGGAUGGUGGGGGCGCGGUGGUUUCAGGAUGAAACUGUUCCACGUCAGAUCAUCUGGCAUUAGAUUCUUACAAGGAGCGUGCAACCUAGAUCCACUGCAUGAGCAGUUCACGAUAGGGUUCCCAGUCCUGUGAGAAUCUAAUGCCACCACUGAUCUGACAGGAGGUGGAGCUCAGGUGGUCAUGCUCACUCACCGAAUUCCUAACAGGCCAUGGACCAAUACUGGUUUACUGGUUCACCUGUAAACUCAAGAUGUUGACUAAUUUGACGCCUUUAGUUUAGAGCUCUAAAAGGUGAUGCUUGAACUCCACAGAAGAGAUACUGAGUGCCUGGCACAGUCUUAGCAAUUUGUGAAGUAUCCUGUUCUAGUAAUACUAAGGCAGGCUCUUAAAUUUUGAUUUAUAAACUCUAGGCCUUGGGCUCUAGACAAAACAGGGCUCUAGAGGGUUGUUUUUUUGUUUUGUUUUGUUUUGUUUUGUUUUAAUGGCAAAAGCAAUAAGUUGCUGUCGUUUUCUAGAUCGUAGACUUAAUGUUGUUCUCCCAACUAUCCAUGUCUGUGGAAAGGGAGCUGAUUGACACAAAAGGAGCAAACAGCAUUAGCUUCAACAUCCUUACUUGUAAAUGAGGCAAACACGUCACAUCUUGCAAUUGGUCCUGCUUUUUUUUUUUUUUCUUUUUCUUUACUUUUCUUUUUGGAAGUGGGAGUGGAGGUGAGUGGUCACUAAAUUCAGGCCCAGUCAUUAAGAGGUGGUCCCCUAGUAAAAAUUUCCACGCCGGAGGUGGAAGGAAUUGCUUGCUCAUUUUUAUUCUAUAUCCUGUGGAAAGCCUUCCCUCCCACCCCUUGAGCCAGUGAGUCACUUCCUUUCUGCAAACCUCUAAAGCUUCCUUUCUUAGCCCAGACCUGGCCCUCUGGAGAGGGUUUUGGAGUCCUGGGCAGGCAGGGCACCUCAGGCAGCAGGCAGCACACCUUGGAUGUGAGCUGAAUGGUUUUUGAAAUUUCAGAGAAGCAGCCUCCACGCAGGAGAAAGUAUAUCAGUGUUCUGAUAAAUGUCAAGUGUUGGAUUCUAGGUUCAGCAUUUUUUCUUUUUACUUUAAACAACUCUAGGAAAGAAACACCCAUAGACGGUACAGCAAGAGGGUUGCAGGUUUGUUUUAUGACUCAUGGAAAUUUCUAAAAUGAUAAAUAUUGGCUCAGCAAUAGUCUGACAUAAGACACACUCAACUAGAGCACCAUGGUUACAAGAAACAAGAAGUGCAUAUUCGGUAAAUAAAGUGUGGCUCCACUUCCAAAAGCUUUCAGAGAGAAAAGAGCAGUGCGGAAGGCCUGGAUUCUUGAGUUUCCCUUCUUGAAUGGUCAUUUGUUUUUCCCAAGACCAGAAACUUCCCUGAGAUGACUGCAGUGUCUUCCCAGCCAGGAAGCCAUUUUAAAUGGUUUGGGUGCUAUACUUUAUUCAGUCCAGAGUCUUUUUGACUAAUAUAAUGAAAAAAUUUUACCCAUCAUAAAAAUUAAUGAGGUUGAAAAGAUAAGUAUUUUUCUCCUCAAAAAAAAAAAAGGAAAAUAAAUAUUUUUCUUGCUGAGUAAAAACCCCCAUCUUUGUGUGUAUAAGAUGUUAGGCAUCUUGGAGAGAUGUAAGGAAUCUGGAAUAUCAACUUUUCAGAUGAAAUUUAGAGAAUGUGAGCCACAAAUAAUGGCUGCGGUCCUCCUGAGUCGAGUUUUUAUUUCUUAUGAAACAAACUCAGCAUUACUUUAACUUCUCAUCAGCUGAUUUUAGUUUCUAAAGAAAAUAUAAUAGACUAAAAUUCAUACCCAAUGAAAAGGCCAUUGUAUCCACUUACUGACAGCUGGGAGUGAGCAACUCAGAUCUGCCUUUCAGCUGGGUUUUCCUGCAUAACAGGUUUAUUAACAGAGCAGCGUGACUCACAAGCAGUGUUCUUUAGAAUCACCCCCCUCCCCCAACACAUACACUGGAACCACGAUAAACACUUGGUAAGGAGGAUCUACCACAAAAUAAACUGAGGAAAGACUCAGGCUACAAUUCUAUGCUUCAAAUAAAACAGCAAAAGAGACUUUUAGGCGCAUGAAGGUCCCAGACAAGAGACCUGGAAGAAGGCACCAAAUCUGAAAAGGUGAUUCAGUGAGUCUGCUGGGUCGACCCUCCUGCAACCACUCAUGGACAUAUGGACUUCCCUUGAGCCAGGAGGGCCCAGGACUGAGUUACUAGAAUACGUUGUAGGGGACAUAGGGGGCAGAGAAAGCUAAAGCCAUUCUGUAAGCUUCUGCAGAGAAGACCCCUGGAGGUAGGGGAGAGAUGAGGUGCCCCGCAUGGUCUGCAACACCAGUGCAGGUGGGAAAGGAUAUGCAAUGAGACGCUGCAUCCAAAGGCCCUUUGACCCAGCUGCUGGGAAACGUAUCUCAAAUUUCUCCAAAGAGAAACUGCGAGGGCCAGAUUAUUCAGAGAGAUUGACGUGGGACCUGGUAUCAAUGCUGCAGAAACAGACUUCUCCUUUGCACGGCCUGGCCCUCUGUAUUUGCCCUCCAUUUGCUUUUCCACUCAUCUUAUAUUAAUCGGCAUUGCAACAGGAGGGAGCUCUCCCCACCAACGAGGCAGUGGCAGGAGUGUCUCUGCAGGUAGCCAAGGUGAUGCUGGCAGCCAGGGAGGCAGCAGUUGGGAUAGCUCUGGCAAGAACACCUCGCUGGCUGCCAGGGAGAGAGCCUGGGCCCUGGGCCAGGACACGGAUGGGCCUGGAUCAUUCUGCUGGUUGAGCCAAACACCAUUAAAAAUAAUUUCAGAAUGGAAA